CCUGAUGCAGCGACGCCGCGUGAGGGAUGACGGCCUUAGGGUUGUAAACCUCUUUCAGUAGGGAAGAAGCGAAAGUGACGGUACCUGCAGAAGAAGCGCCGGCUAACUACGUGCCAGCAGCCGCGGUAAUACGUAGGGCGCAAGCGUUAUCCGGAAUUAUUGGGCGUAAAGAGCUCGUAGGCGGUUUGUCGCGUCUGCCGUGAAAGUCCGGGGCUCAACUCCGGAUCUGCGGUGGGUACGGGCAGACUAGAGUGAUGUAGGGGAGACUGGAAUUCCUGGUGUAGCGGUGAAAUGCGCAGAUAUCAGGAGGAACACCGAUGGCGAAGGCAGGUCUCUGGGCAUUAACUGACGCUGAGGAGCGAAAGCAUGGGGAGCGAACAGGAUUAGAUACCCUGGUAGUCCAUGCCGUAAACGUUGGGCACUAGGUGUGGGGGACAUUCCACGUUUUCCGCGCCGUAGCUAACGCAUUAAGUGCCCCGCCUGGGGAGUACGGCCGCAAGGCUAAAACUCAAAGGAAUUGACGGGGGCCCGCACAAGCGGCGGAGCAUGCGGAUUAAUUCGAUGCAACGCGAAGAACCUUACCAAGGCUUGACAUGAACCGGAAAUACCUGGAAACAGGUGCCCCGCUUGCGG
rnacentral:rRNA from 1 species